rnacentral:rRNA from 1 species
CCUACGGUGGGCUGCAGUGGGGGAUAUUGCACAAUGGCCGGAACCCUGAUCCAGCGACGCCGCGUGGGUGAAGAAGCGCCUCGGCGCGUAAAGCCCUGUCAGCAGGGAAGAAAAUGACGGUACCUGAAGAAGAAGCCCCGGCUAACUACGUACCAGCAGCCGCGGUCAUACGUAGGGGGCAAGCGUUAUCAGGAUUUACUGGUUGUAACGGGUGCGCAGGCGGUGAUGAAAGCCAGGAGUGAAAGCCCGGGGCCCAACCCGGGGAGUGCUCUUGAAACUGCGUGGCUGGAGUGCAGGAGGGGCAGGCGGAAUGCCUGGUGUAGCGGUGAAAUGCGUAGAUAUCAGGAGGAACACCGGUGGCGAAGGCGGCCUGCUGGACUGCAACUGACGCUGAGGCCCGAAAGCGUGGGGAGCAAACAGGAUUAGAUACCCUAGUAGUC